rnacentral:lncRNA from 1 species
UAUAUUAUAUUAUAUUUUAAAAUAACAAAUAAAUUAUUGAUGCUAAAACUUAUAAAUUUAUUUUGAGAAAUAAAAAACUUAUAACAUUUUUUUUAUCAUUAAGUAACACAUAAAAUCUAAAUACAUUAUUAAAAACUUAAAUACCAAAAAUUGAAUAAAAAAAAAAUUUGACUUCAUUCCUUCACGCUAACACCUAACGGCUAUUCAUCACUCCCGCUCAAUUUUCACGCUAACACCUCAAAAAGAAAGAAAAACAUUGAAUCAUAGUUUCAGGCUUACUGCCCUAGCCGCCUUCAACUUUCUUC